UUUUUAAAUGUGUACCUUUUCUUCCAGAUUUGCAGGGACCUAGGAGAUAUUGGUGUGGGAGUCUAUCUCACUGGAUGCCAAGCCUGCGUGGUGGAGCAGCUGGAAAGAGCAGGUUUCUUCUCAGAGUCCAUCCCAAAGAACAGACUGUUUGUCACAAUCCAUGAUGCUGUGCUCCACAUUCUUAACAAAGUGGGACAGACAGACGUCAUCCUUGAUGUUGCCUACAACACCAAAAUGUGACCAGCAGGGGCCAGCCUGUUCCAACUCGCCAUUCCUCCAUUCCCAUUUGCUUUUGAACUGAAGGCGUGCAGUUGCUCACUAUUGGUACACAUUCUCGUCUCCUCCCCCCAUAUGGGGAGAAAAGUCCGCCACCUCAACAUGGCGGCGCAAUUGCCAUGGAAAUACAGGGAGCCGUUGCUGACAAUGAGCGUUUUGUUUUAUUGUCUAAUGAGAUGAAGCAGCUUCUGUGACAGAA